rnacentral:lncRNA from 1 species
CCUUGCUUAGUUUGUGUUAUUACAUGUCUGCCAUUCGGUGUUGAGUUAUUGAGCUGUCGUUCACUCUCUUCGACAGCACAGCAAGGAAACUCAGUUUCCUCCUCCAUUUGUUCAUUCCUGCUCACUUCAAUUUGAACGAAAAUGAUCCCCACCGAGUCUGGAGGGCUCCUCCAUUCCUCCCUUUGUUUGUGUUAUUACAAGUCUCCAUAUCUCUUCCCUCCGUGACUCAGCUGACGACGACGGGCUAUUUCCGUUUGAAAGCCGGCAAAUCGGACCUCAACGUUUGACCAAUCGUCUCCCUUUCAUCUCAGGAACAAGAAACAGCCGUUGCAUGCCUCGAUUUGUUACGGUUUCGAUGAGGAUUUUUUAAUACUCCUCAGAGUUUUCCUACGUUUAUGCGAUGAUUCCGGCGAAGGUCGUCGUCGAUGUUGGUCUCAAACUAUUCCUCAGCACCUCAGGUACCUUCUUCAUCUAUUGUAUGUAAAGAUUCUGCUUCAAAUAUUUGAUUUAAUAUAAAUGGGUUUUAUUUAAUUUUUCAUAUUUUUUUCCUUCAAAAUUCUGGGUUGUGCACAAAUUUUCGUUAGCAGGUCUCAAUCAAAGUUGUGUAUGCUUUGUGCAGAGAGAGAAAGCGGCUGGGAUAUGAGAAAUAAGCGUUUUUACAAAAUCUUAAUAUACCAGUGCGAGUGAAGUGUGUCUGUUUAGUACUAAUAUUUCAGUUCAAGUAAAGUUUACUGCAUUUUUCUACAAAUAGGUACGAUAAUGGUUUAUAGAUUCCCUAUUUAUAUCAUUGGAAUAUAUUUGUUCAAAGUAAUAUUACAAUGAUUUCGAACAAAGCUUAACCAUAAUAGGCAGUAGACAUUAUAUAUCUGCUAAUUUGUUGAAACUAUUGGUGCUCUAUAAAGAGAUAAAAUAUAUGUUACCCACAAAAUAUAAUGUGAAGAUUAUAAACUGUGAAGGGGAUCUCUUACUUCAUUGGAACAGGAACUGACGUAGAACUACGGAUAGAACCCCGGUAUCUACUUAUAUGUUGAGUUACACACUAAAUCUAUAAAUACUUUUUACAGAUAACAUGCAAAUUUCCUUCUUUCAGUCUGUUGUAUGCCUAUGACGUGAUAAACAUAUAAAAAGUUUGCGAAAAUUGAUGGCUCAUGUCAUAACAAAUACUUUUUCAAAUUCUAAGUUUUUAUCCGCUUUCGCUCUUUUUUGUUCAAUGGUUUCAAUUAAUUGCUUUUAGUAUAACAUGCCCAUAUGUUACCGGUUCUAUGUUACCGAGUAUAGCUUGAGGUUAUGAAUGUCCCUGAAAGCACCUUAAUUUUGUGUAUAAUUUAAGUUUUUGCAUUGUGAAGAUGAGCAAGUUGGCAUCUAGGAGUGCAUGUCACGUGAAGAUGAUAUUGGAGGCCUUACAGGUAGAAUCGUUCAGGUCAUUAUUUUGAGGAUUUGAUUUGAUUUGUUUUUUUUUUUUUCUCUUUAUUACUAAGAUUUUUCCUAACCACUUUACAUAUGGGGCUACCAAAAAACAUUGAAUUGGCACCAAAAUGGCCGUAAUUUUCAUUUUACAUAAUUUUUGCAAUCCUUUGUUGAAAUAUGCAGCACAUGGUAGGAGAUAAUUCUUCUUCAUUGUGAACAUUCAGGUAAAUCUGUCUUUCAUGGGUUUUUCUAUUAUUCUUUGCAGUUUUUCCCUGUUGCUUGCCAUUAAUUACCAAAUUAUCUAUGUGAACUAGGUCCAAGUUCAACUACUUAUGGUUUGGCACUAUACUAUAUGAUGAAUUCUCCAAUCGAAGAUACACCCUUGCUACAGAGUUUUAUCAAGGGGGAUGAUUUAUAUGAAAUUCAAGGUUUAACUUCUAACUGAUUCUUCUCUCCUCAGGGUUCAUGGAUUGUUAAGCAAUGUGUGGGAAGAAAGCAUGCCUCAUUGACCAGGCACUUGAAAUCAAUUAUUUCCACGAGAAGAACUAUUUGGAGGUAUAUCAAUUUUUAGCAUGCUUUUAUAUAUGUUCUUUGAUCACCCUACUUUGUGGACAGCUUAUUGACACUUCACUGAAAUUCAAGGCCUUCUGUUUUCGGGUUCAAUUUGUUAGAGUAUAUAGAGUUAAGGUGAUUCCAAGUGUCACAUGAUUUGUCUAUAUAUUUGUGAGGUUCAAUCAAUGUCAUAUGAAGAUGGUAGCAUGUGUUACAAGAUUAAACCAUCUCAGUAUAGUGUCAAGAUGCAGUUAGUGAGUCAGUUAUUUUAGAGGGAUAUAAUCCUCACUCAUUGUGUAGUAUUGUUUUUGGUAAUUAAUUAAUUAUUUUAAAUGCAAUAUCAUGAAUAUUUAUACUCAUUUAUAUAUUUGUAAAGAACAUCAGAACACACGAAUGUAAUAUAUGUACAUAUUAAACACUACUCCUUAACACAUAUAUUUUCUACACUUUCUACAUUUUCAACAAUUUUCUAAACCCCGCAGCAACGCGCGAGUACACUUGCUUGUAUUGGUUCUAUUGCUGUCAUUAAGAGCACAACUGGUAGUGCUUGUUGCCACGUAUGCUUGUAUGCUACCUUCCCAGCUUUUGGUGUAUUCUUUCUUCUUUUUUUUCGGUAACAAGCUUUUGGUGUAUCCAAUUCAACUAUAUUCUUCCGUUGACGACAAGUAUGACAAUAUAUAUGACAUUGUUCCUUGCAUUACAACAACAACA